AUCAUAAGGGAGGUAAAUAAGACAGCCAUUGAUUCUCCAGCCACUUGGAGGAUGGGAAGACAUUCAGUCCCAGGAUUCUCCAGUCACGCUGAGGAGAGGCAGCAGGAUCAGCCCAUUCAGCCUGAAGUAGCGGUUAAAAAGAAAAUCAAAUUACGGGCACUGGAGAUUCGACUCUCGGACAUCAGGAUCACUUGCUGCUUUCCCAGAGGACCUGAGUUUGUUUCCCAGCACCCAUGUCGGGCGGCCUACAACUGCUUGUAACACCAGCUCCAAGAGAUCAAUACCCUUCCCCAGCUUCUGAAGGCACCAGUACAUGCAAUGUCAGGUCCACACGGGAACAGAAGCCUGCUAGAUGGUAUUAGUACUGAGAGCUCUUUCAUGCUUUAAUCUUUUUUUGAAGGAUGCUUUUUUAAAAAUAAAAGUAAUGAUGCUAAA